UGGCCAGAUGGCCAAAGAGGAUGCCCUCCCCUAGCUUUGGUGAUUCACACUGACUUGCCACAUGUUUUUUUCUUCUUUUAGCAGCCUCGACUGGGGAAGAUAUUCCAGUUGCCUGUGAGAGAAGGGCAAGAACUGACAAGAAGAGAGGCACUCGAGAUGAGUGGGCGAUAAACAUUACUCUAAAUACCUGCUGCUCCAAAAUUAUGGGUUCAAAAGAUGAGGAUCAAAUCAUAGAUGUGGAAGGAUGCUGCCAAUUCGAAAUUUAGUUCCAGGCCAGAAAGUCUAAAAUGUCACCCUCUAGAGACUGUAAAUUGAUGUUUUAGCUCCGAUAUUAGAACUGGACGACUCAUGCCAGACGAUAGCAAAGUCUAAUGGACACCUAAAGGGCAUUACUCUGUGGCCAGAAAACGCACUUCAGAAACAGGGAUCAUUCUGCUUUUUCCUUAUGAUUUCAUAACGGACAGCUGCUUAGAACUCAAAAGACAUCCUCUACCCACGGCAACACAUAAUGACGUCACAAACGGAGAUGAGAACUUCUGGUGGGAAAUUAGUCCUAGAUGAGUUUAUGAGUUACGAAGAUCCUGUUUUCGUGUCGAUAUCCUCAGUGGCAAAAUUCAAGGAAAGAGAGGAAGUUGCACAAAUAAAUGAUCAAAAACAAUC